UCCGGUGACUACAUCCAGGAUGUCACACUCGUUCCCAUUCCGAACACGACAGUUAAGCUCCUGGAGCCGAUGAUAGUGCCCACCAGUGCGAAAGUAGGUUAUUGCCGGAA
rnacentral:rRNA from 1 species